GACGAACGCUGGCGGCGUGCCUAAUACAUGCGAGUCGAGCGGACUGAUUAAGAGCUUGCUCUUAUGACGUUAGCGGCGGACGGGUGAGUAACACGUGGGCAACCUGCCCUGUAGAUCGGGAUAACACCGAGAAGUCGGUGCUAAUACCGGGUAAUAUCUGAGAUCACAUGAUCUUAGGUUAAAAGAUGGCUCCGGCUAUCACUACAGGAUGGGCCCGCGGCGCAUUAGCUAGUUGGUAAGGUAAUGGCUUACCAAGGCGACGAUGCGUAGCCGACCUGAGAGGGUGAUCGGCCACACUGGGACUGAGACACGGCCCAGACUCCUACGGGAGGCAGCAGUAGGGAAUCUUCCGCAAUGGACGAAAGUCUGACGGAGCAACGCCGCGUGAGUGAUGAAGGGGUUCGGCUCGUAAAGCUCUGUUGUUAGGGAAGAAACAGUACCGAACGAACUAGGUCGGUACCUUGACGGUACCUAACCAGAAAGCCACGGCUAACUACGUG
rnacentral:rRNA from 1 species